UCCCUGCUGGCUCAGCUGGUGGUAAAGAAUCCACCUGCAAUGUGGGAGACCUGGGUUCGAUCCCUGGGUUGGGAA
rnacentral:tRNA from 1 species